rnacentral:sRNA from 12 species
AGAUAAUCCCGGGCAACCGGGGAAAAACACACGGCAGCUGGUGCCGCGUUGUUCCUCUACCUUAGCAGCAAUGCGGGUGGCAGGCAGAUGUCACCAGCUCCUCUGGACGGUGUCACGACCGUCUAGCAGCGUGAAGUGGAGCUGCGCGGCAAGGUGCGAUUAGAAACCGCAUCCGAGCCGAGUUAGGCCUGCAGGGAGUUUCGACCUGCCCGCCUACACAGUAACCCAGAGGGUUUCGGUUGCUACUGUGCUAACCAGCACGCAAUCAUGGCAUUUGGCGGGACAACCCCGCCAUAAGGUUCUGGGUCCAAAACACCUAGGGCGUACAAAGAUGACGUGGUUGCGGGGAGUGAGCGCGCCUGGCAAAGCGCGUAAACCUCCUUCUUGGGGCGGUUCUGUAAAACGGGAUCACCCAACUGCGAUACCAAAGCAACCUGAGAGUUAAGAGGUCAGACCCGUAGCACGCGGUAAACGUCCGGUCAAAAGCCGGAGCCGCCCGUGUGAAAAGGGUGCCGACGCGACAGAUCGAAAGAUCGCAGGCGUGUCAGUACCUCGUUCAGCGCGCUCGCUGCCGGCAGGCAGUAGCCGAACUGGGCGAAAAGACCUCACUCGACAGAUCGCGAUCGGAAACGGUCACGACGGUCCCGCCAUGAGACCGAUACCGCUGCCUUCCGCAGCGAGUGGCGUCGGGGAACAUACGGCCCGCGAAAGCGAGUGCGCCCAAUGUAUGUGCCGGGGAAGAGCGAGUGGCGAACGAG